GGGGGUCUAGCUCAGUGGUAGAGCGUCCGCUUUGCAUGCGGAAGGUCAAGGUUUCGACUACCUUGUCCUCCA
rnacentral:tRNA from 1 species